AUCCUGGCCGGGGACGCGAGGGUCAGGAGGGAGAGGGACCCCUGAGGGGCAGCCGGGGUCCUGUCCGGUCACUGGGGGGGGGGGGGGGGGGGGGGGGGGGGGGGGGGGGGGGGGGGGGGGGGGGGGGGGGGGGGGGGGGGGGGGGGGGGGGGGGGGGGGGGGGGGGGGGGGGGGGGGGGGGGGGGGGGGGGGGGGGGGGGGGGGGGGGGGGGGGGGGGGGGGGGGGGGGGGGGGGGGCUGCCCGGUCACUGGUCAGUGACGUGAGGGUCAGGAGGGACAGGGACCCUGAGGGACAGCCGGGGUCCUGUCCGGUCACUGCCCACUGGAUGGAGACACCAGGGUCAAGAGGGAGAGAGACCUGUGAGGAACAACCGGGGGGUCCUGUCCGAGCUUUGGCCAGGGAUGUGGGGGUCAAACUGGAGAGGGACCCCCGAGCGAUGCUCAGGGUGGCCACUGGUCAGUGAUGUGAGGGUCAAGAGGGAGAGUGACCACUGAGGGACACUUGCCCACUGGCUGGAGACGUGAGGGUCAAAGGGCCAAGUGACCACUGAGGGACACUUGGGGGUCCUGUCCAGCUCAGUGGCCAGAGAUGUGAGGGUCAGCGGCCAAGUGACCACUGAGGGACACUCGGGGGUGGCCACUGGUCAGUGAUGUGAGGGUCAAACAGCUGAGUGACCCCUGAGGGACGGGGGGGGGGGGGGGGGGGGGGGGGGGGGGGGGGGGGGGGGGGGGGGGGGGGGGGGGG
rnacentral:lncRNA from 12 species